GACGAACGCUGGCGGCGUGCUUAACACAUGCAAGUCGAGCGGAAAGGCCCUUCGGGGUACUCGAGCGGCGAACGGGUGAGUAACACGUGAGCAACCUGCCCCUGACUCUGGGAUAAGCCCGGGAAACUGGGUCUAAUACCGGAUACGACUACUGAUCGCAUGGUUGGUGGUGGAAAGUUUUUUCGGUCAGGGAUGGGCUCGCGGCCUAUCAGCUUGUUGGUGGGGUAGUGGCCUACCAAGGCGACGACGGGUAGCCGGCCUGAGAGGGCGACCGGCCACACUGGGACUGAGACACGGCCCAGACUCCUACGGGAGGCAGCAGUGGGGAAUAUUGCACAAUGGGGGAACCCUGAUGCAGCGACGCCGCGUGCGGGAUGACGGCCUU
rnacentral:rRNA from 1 species